rnacentral:rRNA from 1 species
AUACGUAGGGUGCAAGCGUUAAUCGGAAUUACUGGGCGUAAAGCGUGCGCAGGCGGUUUUUUAAGACAGUGGUGAAAUCCCCGGGCUUAACCUGGGCAAUGCCAUUGUGACUGCAAGGCUGGGGUGCGGCAGAGGGGGGUGGAAUUCCGCGUGUAGCAGUGAAAUGCGUAGAUAUGCGGAGGAACACCGAUGGCGAAGGCAAUCCCCUGGGCCUGCACUGACGCUCAUGCACGAAAGCGUGGGGAGCAAACAGGAUUAGAUACCCUGGUAGUCCACGCCCUAAACGAUGUCAACUGGUUGUUGGGGAUUUAUUUUCUCAGUAACGAAGCUAACGCGUGAAGUUGACCGCCUGGGGAGUACGGCCGCAAGGUUAAAACUCAAAUGAAUUGACGGGG